rnacentral:rRNA from 1 species
AGAGUUUGAUCAUGGCUCAGGACGAACGCUGACGGUGUGCUUUAGACAUGCAAGUCGAACGAGAAAGCCCUUCGGGGUGAGUACAGUGGCGAACGGGUGAGUAACACGUGGGUAACCUGCCCCUCGCAGGGGGACAACCGGGGGAAACCCCGGCUAAUACCCCAUACGCUCUGAGGUCCGCAUGGUCCUCGGAGGAAAGGUAGCUUCGGCCAUCCGACGAGGGAAGGGCCCGCGGUCCAUUAGCUAGUUGGUGGGGUAACGGCUCACCAAGGCGACGAUGGAUAGCUGGUCUGAGAGGAUGAUCAGCCACACUGGGACUGAGACACGGCCCAGACUCCUACGGGAGGCAGCAGUCGGGAAUCUUGCGCAAUGGGCGAAAGCCUGACGCAGCAACACCGUGUGGGCGAUGAAGGCCUUCGGGUCGUAAAGCCCUGUUGUUGGGGACGAAGGGCGAAGGGUUAAUAGCCCCUAGCCUGACGGUACCCUUCGAGGAAGCCCCGGCUAACUACGUGCCAGCAGCCGCGGUAAUACGUAGGGGGCGAGCGUUGUCCGGAAUUAUUGGGCGUAAAGAGCGUGUAGGCGGUUUGGUAAGUCUGCCGUGAAAACCCGGGGCUCAACCCUGGGCGUGCGGUGGAUACUGCCAGGCUAGAGGGUGGUAGAGGCGAGUGGAAUUCCCGGUGUAGCGGUGAAAUGCGCAGAUAUCGGGAGGAACACCAGUAGCGAAGGCGGCUCGCUGGGCCAUUCCUGACGCUGAGACGCGAAAGCUAGGGGAGCGAACAGGAUUAGAUACCCCCGUAGUCC